rnacentral:rRNA from 1 species
GGUUAAGCGACUAAGCGUACACGGUGGAUGCCCUGGCAGUCAGAGGCGAUGAAGGACGUGCUAAUCUGCGAUAAGCGUCGGUAAGGUGAUAUGAACCGUUAUAACCGGCGAUUUCCGAAUGGGGAAACCCAGUGUGUUUCGACACACUAUCAUUAACUGAAUCCAUAGGUUAAUGAGGCGAACCGGGGGAACUGAAACAUCUAAGUACCCCGAGGAAAAGAAAUCAACCGAGAUUCCCCCAGUAGCGGCGAGCGAACGGGGAGCAGCCCAGAGCCUGAAUCAGUGUGUGUGUUAGUGGAAGCGUCUGGAAAGGCGCGCGAUACAGGGUGACAGCCCCGUACACAAAAAUGCACAUGCUGUGAGCUCGAUGAGUAGGGCGGGACACGUGGUAUCCUGUCUGAAUAUGGGGGGACCAUCCUCCAAGGCUAAAUACUCCUGACUGACCGAUAGUGAACCAGUACCGUGAGGGAAAGGCGAAAAGAACCCCGGCGAGGGGAGUGAAAAAGAACCUGAAACCGUGUACGUACAAGCAGUGGGAGCACGCUUAGGCGUGUGACUGCGUACCUUUUGUAUAAUGGGUCAGCGACUUAUAUUCUGUAGCAAGGUUAACCGAAUAGGGGAGCCGAAGGGAAACCGAGUCUUAACUGGGCGUUAAGUUGCAGGGUAUAGACCCGAAACCCGGUGAUCUAGCCAUGGGCAGGUUGAAGGUUGGGUAACACUAACUGGAGGACCGAACCGACUAAUGUUGAAAAAUUAGCGGAUGACUUGUGGCUGGGGGUGAAAGGCCAAUCAAACCGGGAGAUAGCUGGUUCUCCCCGAAAGCUAUUUAGGUAGCGCCUCGUGAAUUCAUCUCCGGGGGUAGAGCACUGUUUCGGCAAGGGGGUCAUCCCGACUUACCAACCCGAUGCAAACUGCGAAUACCGGAGAAUGUUAUCACGGGAGACACACGGCGGGUGCUAACGUCCGUCGUGAAGAGGGAAACAACCCAGACCGCCAGCUAAGGUCCCAAAGUCAUGGUUAAGUGGGAAACGAUGUGGGAAGGCCCAGACAGCCAGGAUGUUGGCUUAGAAGCAGCCAUCAUUUAAAGAAAGCGUAAUAGCUCACUGGUCGAGUCGGCCUGCGCGGAAGAUGUAACGGGGCUAAACCAUGCACCGAAGCUGCGGCAGCGACGCUGAUGCGUUGUUGGGUAGGGGAGCGUUCUGUAAGCCUGCGAAGGUGUGCUGUGAGGCAUGCUGGAGGUAUGAGAAGUGCGAAUGCUGACAUAAGUAACGAUAAAGCGGGUGAAAAGCCCGCUCGCCGGAAGACCAAGGGUUCCUGUCCAACGUUAAUCGGGGCAGGGUGAGUCGACCCCUAAGGCGAGGCCGAAAGGCGUAGUCGAUGGGAAACAGGUUAAUAUUCCUGUACUUGGUGUUACUGCGAAGGGGGGACGGAGAAGGCUAUGUUGGCCGGGCGACGGUUGUCCCGGUUUAAGCGUGUAGGCUGGUUUUCCAGGCAAAUCCGGAAAAUCAAGGCUGAGGCGUGAUGACGAGGCACUACGGUGCUGAAGCAACAAAUGCCCUGCUUCCAGGAAAAGCCUCUAAGCAUCAGGUAACAUCAAAUCGUACCCCAAACCGACACAGGUGGUCAGGUAGAGAAUACCAAGGCGCUUGAGAGAACUCGGGUGAAGGAACUAGGCAAAAUGGUGCCGUAACUUCGGGAGAAGGCACGCUGAUAUGUAGGUGAAGCGACUUGCUCGUGGAGCUGAAAUCAGUCGAAGAUACCAGCUGGCUGCAACUGUUUAUUAAAAACACAGCACUGUGCAAACACGAAAGUGGACGUAUACGGUGUGACGCCUGCCCGGUGCCGGAAGGUUAAUUGAUGGGGUCAGCGCAAGCGAAGCUCUUGAUCGAAGCCCCGGUAAACGGCGGCCGUAACUAUAACGGUCCUAAGGUAGCGAAAUUCCUUGUCGGGUAAGUUCCGACCUGCACGAAUGGCGUAAUGAUGGCCAGGCUGUCUCCACCCGAGACUCAGUGAAAUUGAACUCGCUGUGAAGAUGCAGUGUACCCGCGGCAAGACGGAAAGACCCCGUGAACCUUUACUAUAGCUUGACACUGAACAUUGAGCCUUGAUGUGUAGGAUAGGUGGGAGGCUUGGAAGUGUGGACGCCAGUCUGCAUGGAGCCGACCUUGAAAUACCACCCUUUAAUGUUUGAUGUUCUAACGUGGACCCGUGAUCCGGGUUGCGGACAGUGUCUGGUGGGUAGUUUGACUGGGGCGGUCUCCUCCUAAAGAGUAACGGAGGAGCACGAAGGUUGGCUAAUCCUGGUCGGACAUCAGGAGGUUAGUGCAAUGGCAUAAGCCAGCUUGACUGCGAGCGUGACGGCGCGAGCAGGUGCGAAAGCAGGUCAUAGUGAUCCGGUGGUUCUGAAUGGAAGGGCCAUCGCUCAACGGAUAAAAGGUACUCCGGGGAUAACAGGCUGAUACCGCCCAAGAGUUCAUAUCGACGGCGGUGUUUGGCACCUCGAUGUCGGCUCAUCACAUCCUGGGGCUGAAGUAGGUCCCAAGGGUAUGGCUGUUCGCCAUUUAAAGUGGUACGCGAGCUGGGUUUAGAACGUCGUGAGACAGUUCGGUCCCUAUCUGCCGUGGGCGCUGGAGAACUGAGGGGGGCUGCUUCUAGUACGAGAGGACCGGAGUGGACGCAUCACUGGUGUUCGGGUUGUCAUGCCAAUGGCACUGCCCGGUAGCUAAAUGCGGAAGAGAUAAGUGCUGAAAGCAUCUAAGCACGAAACUUGCCCCGAGAUGAGUUCUCCCUGACCCUUUAAGGGUCCUGAAGGAACGUUGAAGACGACGACGUUGAUAGGCCGGGUGUGUAAGCGCAGCGAUGCGUUGAGCUAACCGGUACUAAUGAACCGUGAGGCUUAACCUU